rnacentral:rRNA from 1 species
GGGUAGAGCACUGUUUCGGCUAGGGGGCCAUCCCGGCUUACCAACCCGAUGCAAACUGCGAAUACCGGAGAAUGUUAUCACGGGAGACACACGGCGGGUGCUAACGUCCGUCGUGAAGAGGGAAACAACCCAGACCGCCAGCUAAGGUCCCAAAGUCAUGGUUAAGUGGGAAACGAUGUGGGAAGGCCCAGACAGCCAGGAUGUUGGCUUAGAAGCAGCCAUCAUUUAAAGAAAGCGUAAUAGCUCACUGGUCGAGUCGGCCUGCGCGGAAGAUGUAACGGGGCUAAACCAUGCACCGAAGCUGCGGCAGCGACGCUGAUGCGUUGUUGGGUAGGGGAGCGUUCUGUAAGCCUGCGAAGGUGGCCUGUGAGGGUUGCUGGAGGUAUCAGAAGUGCGAAUGCUGACAUAAGUAACGAUAAAGCGGGUGAAAAGCCCGCUCGCCGGAAGACCAAGGGUUCCUGUCCAACGUUAAUCGGGGCAGGGUGAGUCGACCCCUAAGGCGAGGCCGAAAGGCGUAGUCGAUGGGAAACGGGUUAAUAUUCCCGUACUUGGUGUUACUGCGAAGGGGGGACGGAGAAGGCUAUGUUGGCCGGGCGACGGUUGUCCCGGUUUAAGCGUGUAGGUGUGUGUUCCAGGUAAAUCCGGUUCACUUUAACACUGAGGCGUGAUGACGAGGCACUACGGUGCUGAAGCAACAAAUGCCCUGCUUCCAGGAAAAGCCUCUAAGCAUCAGGUAACAUCAAAUCGUACCCCAAACCGACACAGGUGGUCAGGUAGAGAAUACCAAGGCGCUUGAGAGAACUCGGGUGAAGGAACUAGGCAAAAUGGUGCCGUAACUUCGGGAGAAGGCACGCUGACA